CUGCAACCCGUGUGUGCUCCGAACAUUUCCAUGAGAAAGACUUUCUCAGAACACUGUCCGGUCUAACACGGCUCAGGCCAGGAGUCAUACCAUCAGUAUUCCAGUGGACAAAAACGACUACUGAGAGGCCCGCGCCAAAGAAGCGUUCCAAUGAUGUUGCUCCAGACCCAUGUGUAGGCUGUGAUGAAGGAGUGGCAGCUGAUGGUCCAGUAGACACUACACCGGCACCAUCAGCUGACCAUGACUAUUCCUCCACCCCUGUUCCUGCAGAGAGUCAGCUGGCAGCUGCCCAGGCAGAGAUUGCCAGACUGCAGGAAAAGGUUAGACAACUGGAGCAGGAAAAGUUUUUCCUUGAUAGAUUUUCUUCUGACCCCCAAGCAAUUAGUUUUUACACUGGCUUUAAUAAUUAUCAAACAUUAGUUAGCGUUUUCACAUCUUUAGAACCUUCAGCUAAUAACAUGAUCAGGUGGACUCAGAUGCAGAGACAUUCAUCUAAUAUGAACAAUGUUAGAAUGUCAUCUUUUAAUGAUUCAAGUCUUCCUCUUAUUGACCAGUUUUUCAUGUUUUUGUGCCGUGUGAGGCAGGGUCUUGCAGAGAAUGAUUUAGCUGUUAGGUUUGGUGUGUCCCAGUCUUCUGUUAGUAGGUUGUUAAUCACCUGGGCAAAUUAUUUGUACUUCAUGUUGGGCAGUUUGGCAAUUUGGCCUUCUCGGAGUGUUGUUGAUAAGAAUAUGCCAGAAUGUUUCCGUAAGACCUACCCAAAGACAAGAGUUAUACUUGACUGUACAGAGCUAAAGGUGCAGACUCCAAGUUCUAAGGUACUUAAUUCUGAAACAUAUUCACAGUACAAAAGCCACACAACAUUUAAGGGUUUAAUCGGAAUUACACCAUGUGGGGUCCUGUCCUUUGUCAGCACACUGUAUACUGGAUGUAUAUCAGAUAAAGAAAUCACAGCUAGAUCAGGAAUAGUUGACCUUAUUGAGCCUAAUGAUUCUGUUAUGGCUGAUAAGGGGUUUCUGAUACAGGACCUACUGGACAAUAAACAAGCAAUGUUAGUGAUCCCCCCAUUCCUUGGCAAGAAAGGAAAGUUCUCUGCCACUGAAGUUAGUCAGACCCAUGGGAUAGCUAGGUUGAGAAUACAUGUGGAGAGGGCCAUCAGGCGGGUAAAGGAAUACCACAUUUUUGAUGGAGUAGUCCCACUUUCACUUGCUCCGUCAAUCAACCAGAUUUGGACUACUUGUUCGAUUCUGACAAAUUUCAGGGGACCCUUAUUCUAAUAAGGGAAGUUGAUAGAUGAAGCAAGUGAAAAUGGGACUCCUCCAUAAAAAAUGUGGUUUAUUUGUUUGCAUCGCACUAAAAAGUAUAAAGAUGAAAUGAAGACCAAAAAUACAUAAUACAUUUUUUUGUACUAGUUAUUCUACUCAAUAUUAACAUUUGAUGCUACUUUCUGCCCCUCACAUUUUUUUGGAGUUCUUCAUGUAUUCUCCUGAAGUGGGUCACCAAAUUGUGUUAGAAAUUCCUGAGACAAAGGCAUGAUUAAAACAAAUUUGACAACAUCUAUUACUAAGUAUUAGAAAAGCCCCUAUUAUAUUGUUCUUGGCACUGUAACAUUCAAGACUACAAAAUGCUUGUUUAUCGUCCAGUAGGUCUUGUAUCAGAAAAGAAUAUGUUAUAUACAAUUGUUUGUGCUCAAUAGUGCUUAGAAACCAUUUAAAUGUAUGAAGCUUGGAGUCUAUAUCUCAAAGCAUUAAUAAUCUUUUCGAGGGCACCAAAUUUUCUUAACUUCUGGCGCAAUUUUCGCAUGGAAAGACGUGUGCUCUCAAUAUUACUCUUGUCUUUGGGUUAAUUUUUGUCUGAGGGCACCAAAUUUUCUCAACUUCUGGUGCAUUUUACAUGGAAACAUGUGUAUAUGACAUAUAUGACCGUGUUGUAUUCUGUAUAUCCCACCCUCAUAAACAUAAAUUUGAAUCUAUAGUUCUUCAUGUAUGUUUUUAUCCUGUUGUAGACUCUGGCAUAGUCUUAUCAACAACACUCCUAUUGUAACUAACUUAUCUUAUAUUUCUAUGAAUACCAAAGUUGUAUGGUAUGAUUAAAUAUAUAUGUCUUAAGACCAAAUCAUUAUUUGUAAAACAAUACAUAUUGAACAGAAUCAAAUAGAUACAGCAGAUUUUAUGAAUCUUGACAUUACAUUUAUUCACAAUGGCAUUUUAUAUAUGACCAGAUGUGGUUUGCAAAUGAUCAUGUUGUACCAACAAACUGAAAUGUCUCCAACCUUGUAACAUUGUAAGGUAGUCUGAGGCAAUAUUUUUCCUAAUCCAUUAGUUGAAUACUGUGUACUCAUGUAAUGAAGGUGUUACGUUGGGAAACUAUGUACAAGAUGCUUUCAACAAAUCUACCAUUCUUUAGUUGUCCAAAUAAACUAGCCUAAAUACCAACUGGUAAUGAUUUAUUACCGUAACCACAUGUUUUCUAAAUGGUGUUUUACUUCUUGCUGUUUCAGAUACAUUAUACUAUUGUUACUUGAAAAAAGAUAGAAGAUAAGUGUUAUCAUAUUAUAUAUUGUAUAUUGUAGAAUGUAUUUCAUAUGAUGGGUAUUUUUUUUAUAUUUUAUAAUCUGCAUCUGAGUCCACCUUUUUACAAAUAUGCCUGCAAGUUUGUACAGAAUAAAGUCUCUAGUUGAUAUUUGAUUUGCACAAAAAACAUAUUUCUUGUGUAAUUAUAUAUUAUUAAGCAAUGUUUUGUAACAUCAACCUGUCUUUAUAUGUCUUAAGAAGUGAGAAAAAUUGAACCUGUACAGACCAGAAUUCAUUAGCCAUUGUUGAUAUCAUAUUCUUAUUGGCAUUGAGCAUGGGCCAGCAGCUGCCACUUAUUAAGCUUUAUUGCCUGAUAACUGUACAUACAUGUUUCUAAGAGCAUAAAUAUACAAUAAAGGCAAUAAAUUCAUUUAGUCAUUAAGAAAUCUU